GGUCCUAUAACUCAGCUGGUUAGAGUAUCUGACUCAUAAUCAGAAAGCCCCUGGUUCGAGUCCAGGUGGGACCA
rnacentral:tRNA from 1 species